GUUUGGCAUAGCUGGGGGUUCAGAGUGUUCUCUACUAGGACUGACUGUGGAGGAGGAGGCGAGGGAACCGGGCGGUAUGGAAACUGUGAGGGAAGGCUGGCAGGAGCCCCGGCAUGGAGAUUCAGAACGUGCCAGAGCUCAGGGUGACCUGCAGGAGGAGGGAGUGGAUCCUUGGCAGCUUGUUGUCUCUGCUACCAGGGAUGGAAUUAUAGCCAGGCCUCUGCUGCCCAUCUGGACAGCCUUUCCCCGCCUCCCCGGAAGUUAGAUGUGAGCAAGUGAUGUGGCUGUCAUCAUGGAACGUGAGCAGAGCUGACGUGGAGCAUCCACAGGCCUGGGGGGACGUGGCGGCGAGUCCUCCGUACUCUUUCUCCUUCCUGAUGGCUGGAAUCUGCACUCACAGCCACCCAGUAUCAACCAGUGACUGUGAUGGUACUGCCGAGGCGGGGGCACACAGGGCAAGGAGAGGCGCCCACCUCUUGCGCCACCCAUGUUGACAAUGUGGUGUAAGAGAGAAAUACAACCCUUUGUCUGCCUGGCCACGUGUUGCUGCCUCGCUUUGUUACAGCACUUUUCUCUGUUAUGGUAUGCUUCCUUCUAAUUGUCCUGCUCUGAGGUGUUCUUUUCCUCACAUUCCAUGGUCCUCUCUCAGAUCAGGGAGUCCGGGUUCACUAUCUAAUUCCAC
ensembl:lncRNA